CUCCAGUUCCCUCCUUCAUCCUGUACGGCUGCUUCCAGCUCCCGGGAGAGAAUCGCUGAGCAGCUAGAAUAGAAAAGCCUGAACCUGGCCGUAAACUGAGAGUGAGAAAUUGAGGGAGAGGAAGACAGCAAAGACAACUCCCAGGAUUCUGACUCAAGAUUGUGUUGUUGCCACUUACUGAGAUGGGGGAAGAGAAGUAGGGGGACUGUCAACAAGUAUGACUCUUCUGAAGACAUGCCAGCAGACCCUGAUAGUUGAGCAGAACAUGACACUCAAUGCUGCACUCAUCAGGACAGUGAGGGUAUUUGGGUAAGCUGUGGUAACUCUCUGGGCCUGAGUUGUUUCGUUUUCCCCACAAGAUGGGAGAAAUGAAAGCACUUUUUUUUACAUCUUGUUUCAAAGAAACAGUUGUUCUUAAAGUCUUUUAAAUGAGUAAUACCUUUGGGAUUCUACGGAAAGUUGACCUUUUCUGAAGAAAAAUAUAAAAUUUUCCUGUAUCUAGAUAUUUAUAAGACUGGUGAUUAAUCCUUGGUGAAGUGAAAGUGAAAUUCACUUAGUGGUGUCCGACUCUUAAGGAAUUUUCC